UGAACAUCCGAGCAUCAGCAGUGCCGAUUCAAAACUAACAGAUUAUCCCCUUUUCUUGGAAUUCCAAGAUGACUCUACUAGAGCUUCCUACGCCAUUUACUUGUUACACAAGGACACAGAGCAGCUUCUGAACUACAUUGGAGCCGAGAGUUCUGGAAGGAAUGUAUUUGGUAAUCUGCGGAGCUUAUUAGGAUUAUACAAUCAGAUGAGUAUUUGUACAUAUGGCCAUCGAAUCCAUGACAAAUGCGGGUUUGGAUCACUUAUGCUGUAGAUAUGGUAGUAUAUACAGGUUCAAGUAAGGUGUUCUUUUGUGUGAUUCUUGCCUACUUUCGUUGUGCCAAGUUUUUGUAUGCACAGCAAGAGGGGCAUUACAUAUAGGGUUUUACAGGAGCAUAAGCCUCUCAAUGUUUUUGACUGAGGUUUCUGGGUACUACCUCUGAGGCUAUUGUACAAAAAAUAUUACUGUAUGAGUUAAUGUCAAAAUUGCAUUGUUUUUCCCC